rnacentral:rRNA from 1 species
UACGAGGGCUUCGUAGCAGUGUCCGUCUUAACUAGGCUGUAAAGGGAGAAUAGGCUGUUCCAUAGUUAGUCUCAAAAUAAGCACUGAAAUUUGACUAAAUUUUCUUUGGCAACUCUGAGGAAAGUGGACGAUAAUGGUUACGUUCAAAGGAGCAGUGUAAAUGCUUUGAGGUUGAAAGGACCACCACGUGGCGAUUGCAAUUAUCGACGCUUUAUACCUGACGCUGAAGAUCGAAAGUGUGGGGAGCAAAUCG